UCGAGCGGUAGGCCCUUCGGGGUACACGAGCGGCGGACGGCUGAGUAACGCGUGGGAACAUGCCCCAAAGUGAGGGAUAAGCUCGAGAAAUCGAGUCUAAUACCGCAUAUGAUCUUCGGAUUAAAGGAUUUAUCCGCUUUGGGAGUGGCCCGCGUACGAUUAGGUAGUUGGUGAGGUAAAGGCUCACCAAGCCCACGAUCGUUAACUGGUCUGAGAGGAUGAUCAGUCAGACUGGAACUGAGAUACGGUCCAGACUCCUACGGGAGGCAGCAGUGAGGAAUCUUCCACAAUGGGCGAAAGCCUGAUGGAGCGACGCCGCGUGCAGGAUGAAGGCCUUCGGGUUGUAAACUGCUUUUAUAAGUGAAGAAUAUGACGGUAACUUAUGAAUAAGCACCGGCUAACUACGUGCCAGCAGCCGCGGUCAUACGUAGGGUGCAAGCAUUAUCCGGAGUGACUGGGCGUAAAGAGUUGCGUAGGUGGACAAGUAAGCGAAUAGUGAAAUUUGACGGCUCAACCGUACAAACUAUUAUUCGAACUGCUUGUCUCGAGAAUGGUAGAGGUAACUGGAAUUUCUUGUGUAGGAGUGAAAUCCGUAGAUAUAAGAAGGAACACCAAUGGCGUAGGCAGGUUACUGGACCAUUUCUGACACUGAGGCACGAAAGCGUGGGGAGCGAACCGGAUUAGAUACCCGGGUAGUCCACGCCGUAAACGAUGGAUACUAGCUGUUGGAGGUAUCGACCCCUUCAGUAGCGAAGCUAACGCGUUAAGUAUCCCGCCUGUGGAGUACGGUCGCAAGACUAAAACAUAAAGGAAUUGACGGGGACCCGCACAAGCGGUG
rnacentral:rRNA from 1 species